rnacentral:lncRNA from 1 species
UCCGAAAUUUUAACUACGAAUAAAAUUGAAAGUGAAAGUAUGUUCCUUAUUAAUGACUUAAGUUUUCAAGGCAAUAAAAAUAAAGAUUUUAUAUUUUUAAAGGUAUUUUGUCUGGAUUGCUCAACUACAAGCUUGAUUCUUACAGUUUCUACUACUGUUUUUAGUCUGUAGAUUCUCUAAACUGUUUUUUUCAAAACAAAAAGAAAUAGUAAUCAACUAAACUUUUAGUCUAAAGUUCACAAAAUGGAAAUGUGCUGUGAACUUAACAAUCUACGUGAGAUGGUGGUUCAAUCUAUAAGUCAAGAAUGUGUUGUCGACAGUUCACAAAUCUCCAAAAAUAAGUUUCUUAUUUUAUAUUUAUUUAGUUUUAAUUGUUAAUUUAUAAUUUUUUUUAAUUUUUAAUUUUUAAAAUGAAUUAACAAAUAUUUUUUUUAAAUUAUUGUGUAUCUGAUGUUAUUUGAUGUAUUAUUGUAUAUAUUUAGAUGUAUUGUUUUUAAUAAUAAUUUUAUUACAAUUUUAGGUAGAGUUCUGCUGUUACACCUGCUAUUACUGUUGUAAGUACUUAAAAUUUCAGGAAGUUCUGUUGCUAGAUGCGACCAGAUGUUUUGCAGUUGUCCUAUGAUUAGAUCAAAAGAAUACACCAAAAGAGAUAUUGGAUCAAUAAUGAAAUUUAUGACAGUGAAAUGCAUCUUUUGAAUAUCUUAUUUCUUUUUUUUUUUAAUAGUAUAAAUUGAUUUAUUAAAAAUGUAAAUUUUAUGUUGUUUGCGAUGUAAAUAUUUUUUAA